rnacentral:rRNA from 1 species
AUUGAACGCUGGCGGCAUGCCUUACACAUGCAAGUCGAACGGCAGCACGGGAGCAAUCCUGGUGGCGAGUGGCAAACGGGUGAGUAAAGUAUCGGAACGUGCCCAGUCGUGGGGGAUGACGUAGCGAAAGUUACGCUAAUACCGCAUACGAUCUAUGGAUGAAAGCGGGGGAUCGCAAGACCUCGCGCGAUUGGAGCGGCCGAUAUCAGAUUAGGUAGUUGGUGGGGUAAAGGCUCACCAAGCCGACGAUCUGUAGCUGGUCUGAGAGGACGACCAGCCACACUGGGACUGAGACACGGCCCAGACUCCUACGGGAGGCAGCAGCGGGGAAUUUUGGACAAUGGGCGAAAGCCUGAUCCAGCCAUGCCGCGUGCAGGAUGAAGGCCUUCGGGUUGUAAACUGCUUUUGUACGGAACGAAAAGGUUUGGCCUAAUAAGCUGAGCUCAUGACGGUACCGUAAGAAUAAGCACCGGCUAACUACGUGCCAGCCGCCGCAGUAA